rnacentral:misc_RNA from 1 species
AGUCUCGUGCGGUGCGGUAUCCGAGCAAGUGAUCAUUUCAUAAAAUUUAUUAAUUUUUAUUCUAAAAUUUUAUACACAUUUAACUUAUCAUUUAAAGUAUGAAAAUUAUUUUUUUUUUUAAAUUAAAAUAUACUAAAAAAAUUCUCUAAUAAAAGAUAUUUAUAAAUAAAAAAAUUUCAUUUAAUAGUGGUGUGUUAAUUAAAAGAAAAAAAAAUAUAUUUGUGAAAUAGUUUAAGUGGUUUUUAAAUUAUAAUUUAUUAUUCAAUAAUAUCAAAAAAGUUUUUUUUUUUUCAUUCUAUUUAUUAUUACAAUUUUUAUUUAUUUAAAUUUAUAUAUAUUUUUGUUUUUUAAAAAUUUGUUUUUUUUAUUAUUUCUGAGCCAAGUGGUUUUUCGAGUGAGUGUAUAUGCCAAUGUCAAUGAUUUAGCUGCAACCGAAUUUGAUGUAUGUGAAUAUACAUAGGCGUAUAUAUUUAAAGUGUAUACACAGUGAAUGCAUAUCCGUGGUUAUUGCGUGCGCGUGACACGCACUGACACACGGACAAUGGUCGCAAAAUUUUGGUUUUGAAUUUUGUCGUAUAAUUAUAUAUAUACACGCGUAUUAUGUGACACACGUCUGUUUGUAGUACGCGAUAAAGUACCUUCAACUUGUGUAUGUACAAGCUGCAUUGCAAUCGUAAUAUAAUCAAAGGUAAAUGGUAUAUAGAAGUGGCUUAUAUAUUUCACAAACAGCUUAUCCAUCCAAUUUAGAAUGACGUUCGAUGCAUUGAUGAAUUGAAGUGGAUUUUGGUGUAUACCAAACAUACAGUGUUACGUGAUAAGUGUGUAGUUUAUUCAAUGGAAUUAUUCAUCAUCCCUUUCCGUGUUAACACAUAUACUUAUUACCAUAAUUACAAAUGGAAAAUUAAACUUCAAAAAAAUAUAUUGACAAGCAUAACAGAGUCAUUGUUUUUGGUCGUCAGCUUGUUCACGAAAUUUUUUCACCUCAUAUACGAAAAGAUGUCAUGGAUUUGGGAUGAGACAAACCAACGACAUCAAUCUAUACAAUUCUCAUCAUGCAGAAUUAAUGAUGAUAUUUAUGAGGCAUAUGCAGACAUGCUACAGACAUGAACGCGCAAAGAUGGAAACUCUGAAUUUCUUGUGCUUUCUUGGAUAUGGAAUGAGAUCAUGAAGCCAUCAUACAUAGAGUCCUAUCAUUAAAAAUUGUCAGACAGUGAUCGCAAAAUGUUAAAUCCUGAAACCGGUUGUUAUUCAGAAUCCGUUCGAGCAUGGGAUUGGAGCGCGACGGGCAACGU